rnacentral:rRNA from 1 species
AGAAGUAGAGAAGGGCGCAUGGGGGAUGCCUAGGCUCUCGGAGGCGAGGAAGGACGUGGUAAGCUGCGAAAAGCCGUGGGGACCCGCAAACAGGGGCUGAUCCACGGGUGUCCGAAUGGGGCAACCCGGCACGCUGAAGGCGUGCCACCCCGCAAGGGGGGCAAACCCGGGGAACUGAAACAUCUAAGUACCCGGAGGAAGAGAAAACAACAGUGAUUGCGCAAGUAGUGGCGAGCGAACGCGCAAGAGCCCAAACCCUGCAAGUCAAGGCUUGCGGGGGGUAAUAGGGCCGCAUAAUCGAAACCAAAGCAGACCUGAACCGCGUGGGAAAGCGGGCCAGAGAGGGUGAGAGCCCCGUAAGGGAAAGCAGAGGGGAGAGGCGGUACCCUGAGUAGGGCGGGGUCGGAGACGCCCCGUUUGAAUUUGCCGGCACCAUCCGGUAAGGCUAAACACUCCCGAGAGACCGAUAGUGGACCAGUACCGUGAGGGAAAGGUGAAAAGCACCGUGAACAACGGGGUGAAAGGAGAACCUGAAACCAUGCGCCUACAAGCGGUCAGAGCCCCGAGGUGGGGUGAUGGCGUGCCUUUUGCAUAAUGAGCCUACGAGUUGCCGUCACUGGCGAGGUUAACCCCGUUGACGGGGGGAGCCGGAGCGAAAGCGAGUCUGAACAGGGCGCACAGUCAGUGGGGGCAGACGCGAAACUUUGUGAUCUACCCUUGGCCAGGGUGAAGCCCCGUUAACACGGGGUGGAGGCCCGAACCAGUAAGCGUUGAAAAGCUUUUGGAUGAGCUGAGGGUAGGGGUGAAAGGCUAAUCAAACUGAGAAAUAGCUCGUACUCCCCGAAAUGUCUUUAGGGACAGUGUGGGGGUUGAGUUUGGCGGAGGUAGAGCUACCGAUAGGACUAGGGGGAGUCACAUCCUACCAAAUCCUGACGAACUCCGAAUGCCGCCAAACAUACCCUGCAAUGAGGGCGCGGGUGCUAAGGUCCGCGUCCGAGAGGGAAAGAACCCAGACCCACGGCUAAGGCCCCAAAAUCCAUGUUAAGUUGAACUAAGGAGGUCCAGCUGCAGCGACAGCCAGGAGGUUAGCUUGGAAGCAGCUAUCCCUUUAAAGAGUGCGUAACAGCUCACUGGUCGAGCGGCAGGGCAUCGAUAAUGAUCGGGCAUAAAACAUGGUGCCGAAGCUUGGGAUUGCAGCAAUGCAGUGGUAGGGGAGCAUUCCAACAGCGGAGAAGUUCCGGGGCAACCCGGGGUGGAGCGGUUGGAAAAGCAAAUGUAGGCAUAAGUAACGACAAGGCGGGUGAGAACCCCGCCCACCGAUAGACCAAGGUUUCCGCGGCAAUGUCAGUCAUCCGCGGGUCAGUCGGGUCCUAAGGGGAGGCCGAAGGGCGCACCCGAUGGCAAACCGGUUAACAUUCCGGUACCAGCGCAGCGGGCGAUGGGGUGAAGGAGGAGUGAAAGUCCCACGGGCUGACGGAACAGCCCGUUUAAGGGGGUAGGUAUACGAUCUGCAGGCAAGACCGCGGAUCGUGCCGAAUCCCGAAAGUACCAGGAGGCCCCGGCCGAAUGGAGCGGACGGUAACAGGCUCCCGAGAAAACCCCCUAAGCUCAACCGCUGCGGUGCCCGUACCGCAAACCGACACAGGUGGUCAAGGAGAGGAUCCUGAGGUGCUCGAGUGAAUCAUGGCCAAGGAACUCGGCAAAUUAACCCUGUAACUUCGGGAAAAGGGGUGCCCCGAGCAAUCGGGGCCGCAGAGAAAUGGCCCAGGCGACUGUUUAACAAAAACACAUGGCUUUGCGAAAUCGCAAGAUGAAGUAUAAGGCCUGACACCUGCCCGGUGCUGGAAGGUCAAGGGGGGGCGUCAGCCGCAAGGCGAAGCGCUGAACCGAAGCCCCAGUAAACGGCGGCCGUAACUAUAACGGUCCUAAGGUAGCGAAAUUCCUUGUCGGGUAAGUUCCGACCUG